GAGUGCAUGUGCCCUAUAGCAAAUAAAACACAACUAUCUUUAAAAAAAAAAAGGAUUCUUCUUAGAAUUGGCUAGGAGAGAAAUGAUCCCGUCUGAAAGAAAAGCCCGUGACGGUGUACACCUCACCGCGCCUCCAAACUCAAGCUGAAGUACACAGCGAGUCACAGGCUGUCCCCACACCCACCGCUGUGGGCACGCCCAGGCACUGUCGCUGGCCUGGAGCGAUUUACGAGGACGACCCAGAUGUUCGCCCAGCUUGGCAGCUGCCACUCUGCUGGGCUGCUAGCCCAACCCACUUGACCUGGUUUUAUCUGUGGACUCCCAGAUUGUUUUCCUUACACUUAAAGGAGACAUUCCCUGAAAUGGCGGACGUACUUUUAAAGAACAAAGAUCGUUUAGAUAUAGGAGGAAAAUAUAAUCCUUUCAGUUCUCUUACAUGAUCUAUUGCAAGAGGUAAGUGGCGAGUGAAGUCCUGACUGGCCCUCCAGUUCUCCCUCCUGGGGCGCAGAGGCAGGCCGGCCUCACCUCAUCCUGCGGUGCAAACCAGCACACCAGCCUUCGAGAGUGCUCUUCCUCAGGCUCGGUAAUCCAACCCCGUCCUAAGCAGCUAGCACAGACCCAUCCUGCAGACCUUGCAAAUAUGGCCAAGGCUUUGACACUGCCCUCUAUUAGGGGGAGAGAGAAUUCCCUUGCUGGGUUUCACUUCUGACUCACCAUGUGCUACCUGUAGGCCGUACAUUAACCAGCACAGCACGUUUUGCUGACACAGAGGUCUGCUCACUGUGCUGAGACGCAGCGUGUGGGGUGGGCUAAAGGCCGGGAAGGACCAGGCUCCCGUGGUGGGCCUGCACCAUCAGGGGAGAGACUAGGGUGCAGUCGUGAAGUCUUGGGAUUCGCUCCUGUCCACGGACGGGAAGCAUUUUGAAGGGAGGAAGCAGAGUUUGAUGCCAAUGCAGUGACCACAAAGGUGGGAGGGUCUCUAGGGGUGCUGCCCUCCCAGGUGAGACGGGGAAUGGGGGUAGGGGAAGAGUCCUGGGUCAGAGCCGGGCUGAGGAUGAACCUCAGGGAAAGCAGAGAAGACCCAGGACCUGCAGGGCCUUCCAAGACCGUUAAGAGGCCAGCAGGAAGGAGGGAGGACUGUGGCCAAAGCUGGAAAACCGUCCAGGAGUACAUCAAGUCCUGGACUGCGCAGCCAGGACAUCCCAGGUGACUCACCUCCCUUCCGACCUCCCUCCCUCUCCCCCGUCGGGGAACACGUGUGCACACCAGAGACAAUCACGCCGCGACCCUCUGUGCCCAUCUGUCCCUCUUUCUGAGACUGGGCACACACGCGCCCUGUGCAACUCUCAGCCUGGCCCACUGGGUCUGGGAUUUGAACCGCAUGGCUGGCCACGCGAGAUCAGCUGCCUGAGAGGGACGGAGCUGGCCCACUAGGUGAUUUCCAGGAAAGGCGCGCUAAUUGGUGAGGGCCGCCAUAACAAAGUCCCGACCUGCUCGCUUCCGAGGCCAGACCCUCCAGGACCAGGACGUCUGCACGGUGGGUUCUGGGAGGGCUUUCUUCCUGCGUGCUCACAUGGCGGGGCAGUGCCAGCUCUGGCGCCUCUCACAGGGACGAUGUCCCACGAGGACCCCUGUGAUGACGUCGUCUAACCCUGCUGCCCCUGGAGCUCCUUCGCCCUGGAGCUCUGACUGAGGUGUCGAUGGCUGCUCAUAGGUGCGCAGCAGUGGGGGUGCAGGAUGGCGCCCGCCCGUGGGAGCUGGUGUUACGGACGGCUUAGGAGGAAGGAAAAGUAACCUCCCUGGGAAACAGACUUCACGUUUACUCGGCUUGGGUACCUGACUGUUUUCUUCUCAUGUCCGAAGUGAGCUACCGAUGUCUUUUCCAGUUCCUCAUCCAUCACAGCAUCUCCCGGAGUCAGAUGAACGUUAAAACAAACCACUCAGAACACACGGAUGUAUGUGGCUCACCUCCUCCUCCAACAUGAGCCCGGAAGUGCCCUCGGUCCCAGCACCCACUGUGAGCAGACCUUCACUCCUCUCUGUCCAGUCCCGUGGCAAACCCACCCAGAAGCCUCAUGCCCAACUACCGAAUUUUAAGUUUCACCAACACCCUUCAUCUUACGUAAGCUGAAAGGGAAGAGUGAGAGGGAGGGAGGGAGUCGGAUACGGCUGCACGAGCGAGAAAACGCGUAGCGCCUGGCCACCUUUCCUGCAGCCAGGCCACCAUCCACUCCCCCAGGACGGCCGGCAUCUCGGCGGUCACGAGGAAAAUCGCCCAACCUCCCUUCCGGAAGGCCGAGCUUUCGGUGACCUGCGCUGCGUUUCUCUAGACUACUAACUUUUGCCAUGAAGCAAUGUUCAGAAGUGUCAUGGAGAAGCACCUUGUUUUAGGCCCGGUCCUCGGGCCCCCAAGGUGGAGCAAGGAUCUGAUUUCCUUUGACAGCCAGUCACCCCAGCCAGGGCGGGGACCUCUUUUCUUCCUGUUUGUCCCAGCGGUACGAGAUACUCCAAAGGAUGCUCUGCUGGAGACACUGUCCCACUGGACACUAAUUCCUACACACGACCAGAGCUCAGAGAUGCAAGAAAGGGAAGCAAUGUGUAUUU